AAGGCUUAACUGCGGCACCUCAGUGCUCUCGUCCAUUAGCGAAAAACAGCGAACUAGUA
rnacentral:rRNA from 1 species